rnacentral:siRNA from 1 species
UAUCUGUUCUUAGCUUCUUGACCU